rnacentral:rRNA from 1 species
GUGGGGAAUAUUGCGCAAUGGGCGAAAGCCUGACGCAGCGACGCCGCGUGGGUGAUGAAGGCCUUCGGGUCGUAAAGCCCUGUCGGGGGGGAAGAAACCUCGACGGCCUAAUAGGCCGUCGACUUGACGGUACCUCCUAAGGAAGCACCGGCUAACUCCGUGCCAGCAGCCGCGGUAAUACGGAGGGUGCAAGCGUUGUUCGGAAUCACUGGGCGUAAAGCGCGUGUAGGCGGUCUCUUAAGUCUGGUGUGAAAGCCCGGGGCUCACCCCCGGAAGGGCACUGGAUACUGCGAGACUCGAGUACCGGAGAGGAAGGUGGAAUUCCUGGUGUAGCGGUGAAAUGCGUAGAUAUCAGGAGGAACACCGGUGGCGAAGGCGGCCUUCUGGACGGCUACUGACGCUGAGACGCGAAAGCGUGGGGAGCAAACAGGAUUAGAAACCCGUGUAGUCC